rnacentral:rRNA from 1 species
GAUGAACGCUGACAGAAUGCUUAACACAUGCAAGUCAACUGUGGCGGACGGGUGAGUAACGCGUAAAGAACUUGCCUCACAGAUAGGGACAACAUUUGGAAACGAAUGCUAAUACCUGAAACUGGGAGAGAUCUUUGCGUACCAUUAGCUAGUUGGAGAGGUAACGGCUCAACAAGGCGAUGAUGGGUAGCCGGCCUGAGAGGGUGAUCGGCCACAAGGGGACGGAGACACGGCCCUUACUCCUACGGGAGGCAGCAGUGGGGAAUAUUGGACAAUGGACCAAAGGCUGAUCCAGCAAUUCUGUGUGCACGAUGAAGUUUUCGGAAUGUAAAGUGCUUUCAGUUGGGAAGCGGUACCAACAGAAGAAGUGACGGCUAAAUACGUGCCAGCAGCCGCGGUAAUUC